GACGAACGCUGGCGGCGUGCUUAACACAUGCAAGUCGAACGGUAAGGCCCUUUCGGGGGUACACGAGUGGCGCACGGGUGAGUAACACGUGGGUGAUCUGCCCUGCACUUUGGGAUAAGCCUGGGAAACUGGGUCUAAUACCGGAUAGGACUACGCGAUGCAUGUCGUGUGGUGGAAAGCUUGUGCGGUGUGGGAUGGGCCCGCGGCCUAUCAGCUUGUUGGUGGGGUGAUGGCCUACCAAGGCGACGACGGGUAGCCGGCCUGAGAGGGUGUCCGGCCACACUGGGACUGAGGUACGGCCCAGACUCCUACGGGAGGCAGCAGUGGGGAAUAUUGCACAAUGGGCGCAAGCCUGAUGCAGCGACGCCGCGUGGGGGAUGACGGCCUUCGGGUUGUAAACCCCUUUCAGCACAGACGAAGCGUAAGUGACGGUAUGUGCAGAAGAAGCACCGGCCAACUACGUG
rnacentral:rRNA from 1 species